UCCCAUUACCCUGCUAAAUACUGGAUCUGGGUUAGAAAAGGAGCAAAAAAAAAAGCUGCUUUUCAGGUUAAAAGAGAUCAUAUGAAAUGCCCUUGAUUCUCUUGUAUCAAAGAAAGCAGUCAUAGUUGGAAGAGUCAUUUCCACCUGAAAAAUUAACUCCACCACCCCCGAGGCCCAGGCCCAGCCACAGAAGAACCGGUCCAUUGUGGCUCUUCCCAGAUGGCCUCCAAGUGGAUCUUCUCCAAUACCCACUCAGAUCGGCGGUCAGCCAUGACACAGCUCCUUGAAGAAGGCCCUAGAAACUACACUGUGUACUUUGUAUCUUUUCAGACAAAGGGAGAGACAAAUGGCAUUUAUGGCGUGUGACUCUAUGGCAGACACUGUGGCAAUGA